GGAUUAGAUACCCUGGUAGUCCACGCUGUAAACGAUGGAUACUAAGUGUUUGGGAAGUUAAUCUCCUGAGUGCUACAGCUAACGCAUUAAGUAUCCCGCCUGGGGAGUACGGUCGCAAGGCUAAAACUCAAAGGAAUUGACGGGGGCCCGCACAAGCGGUGGAGUAUGUGGUUUAAUUCGAAGCAACGCGAAGAACCUUACCUACCCUUAACAUCCUAGGACAGCUUCAGAGAUGGAGUGUUCUCUUCGGAGACCUGGUGAUAGGUGCUGCAUGGCUGUCGUCAGCUCGUGCCG
rnacentral:rRNA from 1 species